GGCUCAGAACGAACGCUGGCGGCGUGCUUAACACAUGCAAGUCGAACGCGAAAGGGACUUCGGUCCUGAGUAAAGUGGCGCACGGGUGAGUAACGCGUGGAUAAUCUACCCAAUGGUCUGGGAUAACAUUUCGAAAGGGGUGCUAAUACCGGAUAAGACCACGGAGUCUUUGGACUCUGCGGUAAAAGGUGGGGACCUUCGGGCCUACCGCAAUUGGAUGAGUCCGCGUACCAUUAGCUAGUUGGUAGGGUAAAGGCCUACCAAGGCGACGAUGGUUAGCUGGUCUGAGAGGAUGAUCAGCCACACUGGAACUGAGACACGGUCCAGACUCCUACGGGAGGCAGCAGUGGGGAAUUUUGCGCAAUGGGGGAAACCCUGACGCAGCAACGCCGCGUGAGUGAUGAAGGCCUUCGGGUCGUAAAGCUCUGUCAGAGGGGAAGAAAUGCGGGGUGCUAAUAUCACUUCCGCUUGACGGUACCCUCAAAGGAAGCACCGGCUAACUCCGUGCCAGCAGCCGCGGUAAUACGGAGGGUGCGAGCGUUGUUCGGAAUUAUUGGGCGUAAAGCGCGUGUAGGCGGUUUGUUAAGUCUGAUGUGAAAGCCCCGGGCUCAACCUGGGAAGUGCAUUGGAAACUGGCAGACUUGAAUACGGGAGAGGGUAGUGGAAUUCCUAGUGUAGGAGUGAAAUCCGUAGAUAUUAGGAGGAACACCGGUGGCGAAGGCGGCUGCCUGGACCGAUAUUGACGCUGAGACGCGAAAGCGUGGGGAGCAAACAGGAUUAGAUACCCUGGUAGUCCACGCCGUAAACGAUGAGUACUAGGUGUUGCGGGUAUUGACCCCUGCAGUGCCGCAGCUAACGCAUUAAGUACUCCGCCUGGG
rnacentral:rRNA from 1 species